rnacentral:lncRNA from 1 species
GAGUAACGUGGCUUGACCACGCAUGGACCACAGUCUGACUAGCUAUACAAGUUAGCAGCUAACAUGUACUGAUGGACUAGUUUGGGCCCCAUUCAGUAUCCAUUCAUCUCCCUUUUGUGAGCUUAGCAUUGCCCAAACUUUGAUGUUCUUCUCUGGCCCCUGGGCUUGGAAAGCUGUGUGACAACCUCUAUUGUAUAAUUUGUAUUAAUCUUUUCAAAGAACCAACUUUUGGCUUUGUUGAUUAUGCUCUAAUAUUUUCUAUUCUCUGAUUUCUAUUCUCAGCUUUAGUACUUUCUUCCUUCUAGUUUCUCUGGAUUUGAUUUGUUGUUCUUUAACUCUGAAAUGGAAACAUAGAUCAUUGUUUUUUGGCCUUUCCUAAUAUGUGUAUUUAAAGCUAUAAUAUCCCCUCUAUCCACUGCUCUAGCUGCACCCAUGAGUUUUGACAUGCAGUGUCUUUCCUUAUCAUCAGUUCAAAAUGUUUUAUAAUUUUCAUUGUGAUUUCUUUGACUCAUGAAUUAUUUAAAAGUGUAUUGCUUAAUAUUCAACCAGUUGUGGACUUUCUAGUAAUCUUUUUUUUUUUUACUGAUUUAUAGCUUAAUAUCACUGUGAUCUGAGAUCUCUGCCCUUUGAAAUUUGUGGAGACUGGGUGAACCAGUGUAUGGCAAGUUUUGGUAAAUGUUCUUAUGCAUUUGAAAGAGAAUGUGUGUUCUGUUAUUGUUGGGGACUGCCUCCUGUUUUGAGCUUCUCUCCAUAUUUUGUUAUUGUUUUGCCUCUUCCCUCUUUUCAGACUCUAGCAUUGUAUCCUGUAAUGGGACUUCCUGUUGAGUGCUCCCCCACAUCCAACACCAAGGCCACUGAACGCCUCUUUACCAACAUGCCGACUUGGAAGAAGAUCCUCGCUGUCCACUCUUAGAACUGAAGUCACUUUUGCCCCGUCAUGAGGUGUUUCCUGAUACAUAGUGGCAGUUUGAGGGAACUACAGCUGGAGCGAAAGGAGGAGGAACACUUGUUGGGUAACUACAUCUUGUCAUAACAAGCCUAUUGAACGUCAUAGUCUGAGUCAAAGGAGGAGCCAUAAGCUCCACUGCAGAUUGUUUUGCACCUGCUUUUCCUCAGUUUGCUUUUGGCUCUAGAGUCAGAUUAAUAUUUAUUUAUUUAUUUUUUUAUUGGUGUUCAAUUUACCAACAUACAGAAUAACCCCCAGUGCCCGUCACCCAGAUUAAUAUUUAAAACCUGGCCAGCUAUCACUCUGCCAGCCUUUCCUGCCACAGCAGCUUGAGCAUUUCUCUCAUUAGCAUACUGAACAAAGGCAAGGCCCUUAUGAACUGAGCAACCCACAAUUUUGCUAUAUUUUGAGAAAAUAGCCUCCACAUCAGAUUUCUUGACCACAAGAGUAUCAAGAUUCCCAGUGUAUUCAUGGGAGUUCAAGGAGCAAGGAUCUGUCUUGUUGGUAACAUUGCUGGCCAUUGUCUUUGAUGAUAUGGUUUCUCACAAAGCCAAAAAUCGCAGCUGAAGAUAAAAAAAUCUCGCUCAAGUAAAGUUCCACUAACUUAUAUAUUUUGAGUGAUUUGUAAUCAGGAUAGGAGAGGAAAAAGAGAUUUGAU